GACGAACGCUGGCGGCGUGCUUAACACAUGCAAGUCGAACGGAAAGGCCCUGCUUUUGUGGGGUGCUCGAGUGGCGAACGGGUGAGUAACACGUGAGUAACCUGCCCUUGACUUUGGGAUAACUUCAGGAAACUGGGGCUAAUACCGGAUAGGAGCUCCUGCUGCAUGGUGGGGGUUGGAAAGUUUCGGCGGUUGGGGAUGGACUCGCGGCUUAUCAGCUUUUUGGUGGGGUAGUGGCUUACCAAGGCUUUGACGGGUAGCCGGCCUGAGAGGGUGACCGGCCACAUUGGGACUGAGAUACGGCCCAGACUCAUACGGGAGGCAGCAGUGGGGAAUAUUGCACAAUGGGCGGAAGCCUGAUGCAGCAACGCCGCGUGCGGGAUGACGGCCUUCGGGUUGUAAACCGCUUUCGCCUGUGACGAAGCGUGAGUGACGGUAAUGGGUAAAGAAGCACCGGCUAACUACGUG
rnacentral:rRNA from 1 species